rnacentral:rRNA from 1 species
ACGGGUGAGUAAUGUCUGGGGAUCUGCCCGAUAGAGGGGGAUAACCACUGGAAACGGUGGCUAAUACCGCAUAAUGUCGCAAGACCAAAGAGGGGGACCUUCGGGCCUCUCACUAUCGGAUGAACCCAGAUGGGAUUAGCUAGUAGGCGGGGUAACGGCCCACCUAGGCGACAAUCCCUAGCUGGUCUGAGAGGAUGACCAGCCACACUGGAACUGAGACACGGUCCAGACUCCUACGGGAGGCAGCAGUGGGGAAUAUUGCACAAUGGGCGCAAGCCUGAUGCAGCCAUGCCGCGUGUAUGAAGAAGGCCCUCGGGUUGUAAAGUACUUUCAGCGGGGAGGAAGGCAGUGAGGUUAAUAACCUUACUGAUUGACGUUACCCGCAGAAGAAGCACCGGCUAACUCCGUGCCAGCAGCCGCGGUAAUACGGAGGGUGCAAGCGUUAAUCGGAAUUACUGGGCGUAAAGCGCACGCAGGCGGUCUGUUAAGUCAGAUGUGAAAUCCCCGGGCUUAACCUGGGAACUGCAUUUGAAACUGGCAGGCUUGAGUCUCGUAGAGGGGGGUAGAAUUCCAGGUGUA